rnacentral:rRNA from 1 species
UACGAAGGGGGCUAGCGUUGCUCGGAAUUACUGGGCGUAAAGCGCACGUAGGCGGCUUCUUAAGUCGGUGGUGAAAUCCUGGAGCUCAACUCCAGAACUGCCUUCGAUACUGGGAAGCUCGAGUCCGGGAGAGGUGAGUGGAACUGCGAGUGUAGAGGUGAAAUUCGUAGAUAUUCGCAAGAACACCAGUGGCGAAGGCGGCUCACUGGCCCGAUACUGACGCUGAGGCACGAAAGCGUGGGGAGCAAACAGGG